rnacentral:rRNA from 1 species
GACAGAGGGGGCAAGCGUUGCUCGGAAUCACUGGGCGUAAAGGGCGCGUAGGCGGGAUGGCAAGUCAGUCGUGAAAUCUCUCGGCUCAACCGAGAAACGUCGGCUGAUACUGCCGUUCUUGAGGGAUGCAGAGGAGACUGGAAUUCCCGGUGUAGCGGUGAAAUGUGUAGAGAUCGGGAGGAACACCGGUGGCGAAGGCGGGUCUCUGGGCAUCUCCUGACGCUGAGAGACGAAAGCUAGGGGAGCAAACAGG